CUUACGGGAGGCAGCAGUGGGGAAUAUUGCACAAUGGGCGCAAGCCUGAUGCAGCAACGCCGCGUGAGGGACGACGGCCUUCGGGUUGUAAACCUCUUUUAGUAGGGAAGAAGCGAAAGUGACGGUACCUGCAGAAAAAGCACCGGCUAACUACGUGCCAGCAGCCGCGGUAAUACGUAGGGUGCAAGCGUUGUCCGGAAUUAUUGGGCGUAAAGAGCUCGUAGGCGGUUUGUCGCGUCUGCUGUGAAAACCCGAGGCUCAACCUCGGGCCUGCAGUGGGUACGGGCAGACUAGAGUGCGGUAGGGGAGAUUGGAAUUCCUGGUGUAGCGGUGGAAUGCGCAGAUAUCAGGAGGAACACCGAUGGCGAAGGCAGAUCUCUGGGCCGUAACUGACGCUGAGGAGCGAAAGCAUGGGGAGCGAACAGGAUUAGAUACCCUGGUAGUCCAUGCCGUAAACGUUGGGAACUAGAUGUAGGGACCAUUCCACGGUUUCUGUGUCGCAGCUAACGCAUUAAGUUCCCCGCCUGGGGAUACGGCCGCAAGGCUAAAACUCAAAUGAAUUGACGG
rnacentral:rRNA from 1 species